GUUAGUUUUAUUAUUCCUGAAAAUUUGUUUGGGAUUAGUGUUCAAAUAUUUCUUUGCAAACUAUCUUUGCAAUGAUAGGGUUAAGGCAAAGAGAGAGUCUGAGAAGGUAUUUACCUAGUACACCUGUCCGUAUUCUAAAUGAGAUAAGACUGACCUUUAAGUACAUGUAGGGGGUAGUCAUAGGUGGUGGCAUUUUUCAUUCUUGUGUAUAGUAAGCUUUCUUGCCUUUUAUCAUCAUCCUAAAUGACUUCAUUGUCGUUAUACUCAUCAGAUGAACCUCAUUCCUGGAUUCUUCACUCAGGAACAGCAGUGUUUCUAUCGCUUCUGAUCUGAUCUCUAUUUC
rnacentral:lncRNA from 1 species